GAUGAAGAACGUAGCGAAAUGCGAUAAGUAAUGUGAAUUGCAGAAUUCAGUGAAUCAUCGAAUCUUUGAACGCACAUUGCGCCCCCUGGUAUUCCGGGGGGCAUGCCUGUUCGAGCGUCAUUACAACCCUCAAGCUCUGCUUGGUAUUGGGCCCCGCCAGUUCUGGCGGGCCCUAAAGUCAGUGGCGGUGCCUUCCAGCUCCGAGCGUAGUAAUUCUUCUCGCUCUGGAGACCCGGUUGUGUGCUUGCCAACAACCCCCAAUUUUUUAAGGUUGACCUCGGAUCAGGUAGGGAUACCCGCUGAACUUAAGCAUAUCAAUAAGCGGAGGA
rnacentral:misc_RNA from 1 species